GGUCACCAAUUCUAUCUUUUAAAAAACAUCUGCUAAACUUGUUGAUGAAUAUAAUCUGCAAAACUGAAGAGACAACUAGUUGGACUUCCAUGUAUUCCAGCUGAGAUGACUGUCAACAUGCCAGAUACACGACACCUUAGGUACCCCUGGUUUGUCAUGGAAGUCUCGGCAGAUAAGAGAGAAAGAGAGUGGAAGGAAAGGCAAAGAAGUCAGAACAGCAGGG
rnacentral:lncRNA from 1 species